CACAAGACUCUCGGCAACGGAUAUCUCGGCUCUCGCAUCGAUGAAGAACGUAGCAAAAUGCGAUACCUGGUGUGAAUUGCAGAAUCCCGUGAACCAUCGAGUUUUUGAACGCAAGUUGCGCCCGAGGCCUUUUGGUUGAGGGCACGUCUGCCUGGGCGUCACGC
rnacentral:rRNA from 1 species